GUCUCAGUAGCUCAGUGGUUAGAUCGUUGGAACGGUAUGCCAGAGGCCCUGGGUUCGAGUCCCGGUUGAGUCU
rnacentral:tRNA from 1 species